GACAGAGGAUGCAAGCGUUAUCCGGAAUGAUUGGGCGUAAGCGUCUGUAGGUGGCUUUUUAAGUCCGCCGUCAAAUCCCAGGGCUCAACCCUGGACAGGCGGUGGAAACUACCAAGCUGGAGUACGGUAGGGGCAGAGGGAAUUUCCGGUGGAGCGGUGAAAUGCGUAGAGACCGGAAAGAACACCAACGGCGAAGACACUCUGCUGGGCCGACACUGACACUGAGAGACGAAAGCUAGGGGAGCGAAUGGG
rnacentral:rRNA from 1 species